rnacentral:rRNA from 1 species
GGGAGGAAUAUUGCACAAUGGGGGAAACCCAGAUGCAGCAACGCCGCGUGAGCGAAGAAGGCCUUCGGGUUGUAAAGCUCUUUUCCGAGGGAUGAGUAAGGACAGUACCUCGGGAAUAAGUCUCGGCUAACUACGUGCCAGCAGCCGCGGUAACACGUAGGAGGCGAGCGUUAUCCGGAUUUACUGGGCGUAAAGGGCAAGUAGGCGGUGGUCAAAGUUGGGUGUGACAUCUCCCGGCUCAACUGGGAGGGGCCACUCAAAACUAGGCGACUAGAGGGCAGGAGAGGUAAGCGGAAUUCCUAGUGUAGCGGUGGAAUGCUCAGAUAUUAGGAAGAACACCAGUGGCGAAGGCGGCUUACUGGCCUGUACCUGACGCUGAGAGGCGAAAGCUAGGGGAGCGAACGGGUUUAGAAACCCUGGUAGUCC